rnacentral:rRNA from 1 species
AGAUUGAACGCUGGCGGCAUGCCUUACACAUGCAAGUCGAACGGUAGAGUAGCAAUACUCGAGAGUGGCGAACGGGUGAGUAAUAUAUCGGAACGUGCCCAGUCGUGGGGGAUAACGUAGAGAAAUUUACGCUAAUACCGCAUACGAUCUAAGGAUGAAAGCGGGGGACUCGCAAGAGCCUCGCGCGAUUGGAGCGGCUGAUAUCAGAUUAGGUGUUAGGUGUAGGGUAAAAUCGUCACCAACGACGGACGACGUCUCGUAAGUCGUGGUUUGAGAGGAACGACAGCCAACACUACGGGACUGGAACGACGACGGCCCAACGGACCUACCGUAACGGGACCGGACGGA